rnacentral:siRNA from 1 species
UAAACUAUUUCGAUUCUCAGU